AUGAUGUCGAGUGGCGGACGGGUGAGUAAUGCUUGGGAACUUGCCUUGUGGUGGGGGAUAACAGUUGGAAACGACUGCUAAUACCGCAUAAUACCUGAGGGUUAAAGGGGGCUUCGGCUCUCGCCAUUAGAGAGGCCCAAGUGAGAUUAGCUAGUUGGUGAGGUAAAGGCUCACCAGGGCGACGAUCUCUAGCUGUUCUGAGAGGAAGAUCAGCCACACUGGGACUGAGACACGGCCCAGACUCCUACGGGAGGCAGCAGUGGGGAAUAUUGCACAAUGGGGGAAACCCUGAUGCAGCCAUGCCGCGUGUGUGAAGAAGGCCUUCGGGUUGUAAAGCACUUUCAGUUGUGAGGAAAGUUUGGUGGUUAAUACCCAUCAGAUGUGACGUUAGCAACAGAAGAAGCACCGGCUAACUCCGUGCCAGCAGCCGCGGUAAUACGGAGGGUGCGAGCGUUAAUCGGAAUUACUGGGCGUAAAGCGCACGCAGGCGGUUAUAUAAGCUAGAUGUGAAAGCCCCGGGCUCAACCUGAGAUAGUCAUUUAGAACUGUAUAACUAGAGUCUUGGAGAGGGGAGUGGAAUUCCAUGUGUAGCGGUGAAAUGCGUAGAUAUGUGGAGGAACAUCAGUGGCGAAGGCGACUCCCUGGCCAAAGACUGACGCUCAUGUGCGAAAGUGUGGGUAGCGAACAGGAUUAGAUACCCUGGUAGUCCACACCGUAAACGCUGUCUACUAGCUGUUUGUGAAUUUAAUUCGUGAGUAGCGAAGCUAACGCGAUAAGUAGACCGCCUGGGGAGUACGGCCGCAAGGUUAAAACUCAAAUGAAUUG
rnacentral:rRNA from 1 species